CAAAACAUAAAACAGAAGAGGGGUUGCUAAAGAAGCACUGCUAUGUUUCCCUAAACUAAAUCAUCAGUGCCAGCAUGCCCUCAUUCCUAUACUUUUCGUCUCAUGGACUGUUAAGCACAACCUCAUCGGUGCCCACCUGGAAGACCCUGGGAAUGCUGCAUUCAGUGUUAGGCUUCAGAAGAUUUCAUCACUCUCUAAAAGCUUUUUCAGAAGAUUUUCACCCUGAUAUAAGGUAGUAUUGAAAGGCCAACCAUUCAAACCUAGUCAGAGAAGACACAGCUAUUCCUUGGAACUAAUCCUGGCUCUUGAAUGUUAAUAUUCUUGGGAAAUUUUAAUGUUUCUUGUCAAUCUCAAUGAGUCAUUUAAUUGUCAACUUAAAAUUUGUUUACUUUCAGAGUAAAAAUUUGAUUUAUUAUAACUAUGCUGAGUAAGAAUCAAUGCAUGUAUUUGUGGUAUAAAAUUUUAAAUGCUGCAACGCAUUGAGAUAUUGAGACGGAUCACACAUGGUUGUUUAAAAAGACACUUCUGGCAUGGGUACAAUUUAAACAGUAUAUGCAAAUAAGCAGUUGUAAGUAAUCAAAAGAGAAUUCUCUACUAAUAAAAGCUAAUAUUUAUUAUUGUUUCUAUCACCAUUCCUGGAGCCUGAAGUUGCAAAACUAGAUUUCCUAAUUUGACUUAUUAAUGAAUAAAUGAAAAGAACCCAAACAUCUUUCUUAUUUAAUCUCCUUUUUUUCCCCCUCAAAAUUAAUAAGGUCAACUUUGCUCCCAUAUUCCACAUUUCUUAUCCCAACUGAGCAGCUUAUUGUACCACCGAUGGAAUGCAACAGAUUGCGAAGGAAUCAAGGAGACGUUUGAA